rnacentral:rRNA from 1 species
AUAUCAAUAAGCGGAGGAAAAGAAACUAACAAGGAUUCCCCUAGUAUCUGCGAGUGAAGCGGGAAAAGCUCAAAUUUAAAAUCUGGCGGUCUUCGGCCGUCCGAGUUGUAGUCUGGAGAAGUGCUUUCCGCGCUGGACCGUGUACAAGUCUCUUGGAACAGAGCGUCAUAGAGGGUGAGAAUCCCGUCUUUGACACGGACUACCAGUGCUUUGUGAUGCGCUCUCAAAGAGUCGAGUUGUUUGGGAAUGCAGCUCAAAAUGGGUGGUAAAUUCCAUCUAAAGCUAAAUAUUGGCGAGAGACCGAUAGCGAACAAGUACCGUGAGGGAAAGAUGAAAAGCACUUUGGAAAGAGAGUUAAACAGUACGUGAAAUUGCUGAAAGGGAAACGAUUGAAGUCAGUCGCGUUGGCCAGGACUCAGCCUUGCUUUUUGCUCGGUGCAUUUUCUGGUUGACGGGCCAGCAUCGAUUUUAACCGUCGGAAAAAGGUUGGGGGAAUGUGGCACCUUCGGGUGUGUUAUAGCCCUCAGUCACAUACGGCGAUUGGGAUCGAGGACCGCAGCACGCCUUUAUGGCCGGGGUUCGCCCACGUUCGUGCUUAGGAUGCUGGCGUAAUGGCUUUAAACGACCCGUCUUGAAACACGGACCAAGGAGUCUAACAUGCCUGCGAGUGUUUGGGUGGAAAACCCGAGCGCGUAAUGAAAGUGAAAGUUGAGAUCCCUGACGCGGGGAGCAUCGACGCCCGGACUUGAACUUCGGUGAUAGAUCUGCGGUAGAGCAUGUAUGUUGGGACCCGAAAGAUGGUGAACUAUGCCUGAAUAGGGUGAAGCCAGAGGAAACUCUGGUGGAGGCUCGUAGCGAUUCUGACGUGCAAAUCGAUCGUCAAAUUUGGGUAUAGGGGCGA